AACAAACAAAAAACCAACCUGGCUAUUCCUAGGAAUGAUAAAAUAUCUUCCUUUGUAGAAGGAACAGUUAGAGAAUGGAUCAGAAUCUUUCUAUCUAGGGUAAUAGCUUUUUAGGUUGGGGUAAUUGUUCGUCCCAAAUAGAUGACCAAAGGACUGGACUUUAGAAGGUGAGACCCUGUAACCUUUACUGAAAAUGAAAUUCAGAAGAGCAGAGGUGUCAGUUUGGCAAAUUUUUUGAGAGGGGUUACACAGAAGAAUGCAAUCUAUAUAGUGGACAGUCCUAGAUUUAGGGAGAGAAAGAGAGAAGGUAAUUCAGAAACCAGGGCCUGGCCAAAUUGGUGUGGGCUGUGCUGGAAUCUCUGAGGUAGAACAGUCCAGGUAAGUUGUGUAGAAAAGUGGGUGUCAGGAUCUGUUCAGGAAAAGGCAAAUAUGUUCUGUGACUGGGUAUCUAGAGGGAUAGAGAAAGUAGCAUCCGGAGAUCUAAGAUUGAGAAAUGAGAAUUCCCCAAGGGGAUAGUGGGAAGAAGUGUAUAAGGAUUAGCCACAACAGGAUGUACAGGAACUAUGGCAGAAUUAAUGGACCUGAGGUUUUGAACCAGGAGAUAGGUUCCACUAAGUUUCCUAACUGCUAAUGUAGGGGUUUUAAAGGGGGAAGAGGUAGGGCAAAGGAGGUUUUUCCUUAAGAGAUCAGAGGUGAUAUACUUAAGGCCCCUGAGGCUCUGGAGUGAAAGCAGGUAUUGAGGUUGGGUGAUGUACCUGGUAGAAUUCAGUAAUUGCUUGACAACAGGAGAAUGUUUAGCAGCAGAGGGGUUCUGGACAUCCCUGACAAGGAGGUCUACUUGAGAAGCUGGCCAGAAGUCAACUUGCAUUAGAAAAUGUGCUAUUACCAAGAAGCAUGUCACCAAGACAACCGAAUAGAACUGUCCAGAGUAUGUCCUUCUGCAGAAAUAUCAAUUGAGACAACUAUCCAGGCAUGAAAUACCUUCAUAAGAACUAAACAAAACAGGGAAAGCUCCUUAAACCAGAAGAGAGUUGUGGCAAAAAAAGACACACUCAACCAAGAGUUGCGAUGAAAGCAAUGUGUCACAUGAAUUGCCAAUACUUACACUAGUUAAAAGAAGAAAGAAACAAAAGAAAAUAGAGCAUCAUUAUAUAAAAGAGUCAACUUAUCAAGCAGAACCAUCCCUUUAUUCUUCUUCUUUCCCCUACAAUGAAGUGAUUCUUUACAACAUCCUGUGCUCCUUUUAAAGCCCAUUGGUUCCUUGUGGUGCUGUCAGAAUGUACAUGAGGAACGUCUACUGAAGAAAGGAAAGCCUCUCAGAAGCCAAAUACCUGAAGAAAACUCACUCUGCCUCUCAUAAGAAUCCAUCAGUGGCCAAUAUCACCUCAGUGUUUCCACAGGACGUAUCCCAGAUGAUUGAGUCGGGGGAAAGUCUACAAAAGUUUGGAUGUUGAUUAUUUCCUAAUAUCCCAGAAAUGAGAGGAAAGCCUAAACAUGAUCUAGGAUUAAGGAUACCAGCUUUUGCAGAAGAACUAAAACAACUACCCAUGUCUAAACAAGCAACUACUAGACUCUUGGGCUUCCCAUUCACAACUGCCCAUUGUUGGGUUAGCUGGACUACUGACUAGUCACCAGCCAACAAACAGGCAUUAAAUUCACCAUCCUAAGGAAAUUAUUCAUACUCAAAACAUAACAGCCAAAAGUCAUGCACUUGAAGACUUCUGUCUCUACUCCUCUAUUCUACGGAUAAAGUGAAACCAUAACUUUCAGGAAAAGAAAACAUGAGAAUGUAGAUUACAAAAGUCGGAACUGACAAAAUACAUAAAGACCAUGGGAUGGAAUUUACAUUUUGAGGAUGGCAGAGUAAUGAAUCAGAAAGAGCCUUUGACACCAACGACUCACAGGAAGUCCCAACAUGUCUCCUUAAUAUCUUCAUAGUGGUCAUAUCAUUUGAAUAUGAAGAAGAAAAAGAGCAGGUGGAGCCUGACAAGAUCUUCCUGGCUGUUGACCUGCGCAGCUGGAGAAAUCACUAUUGCAGCACAGCUGGACCUGUGGGUUGUGAGAGCUGUGGCUUCGACUUUUACAGAAAAGAUUCUGCUGAAGAGAAUGAGAAGGAAGAGCAUACAUGGCCAAGAACCUGCAGGGUAUAAAAGACCCCAGCACCCAGAUGGAAAGGUGGAGCCCACCCUCUCCCAAAAUACUUCAUUUCUCCAAAAAAAAGAGAAGUCAAUGGGAGAUAUGAAGCCUGAACUAACCAUGCAAGGAUCCCCAGGUUGUGACUAUGACACCAACCCAGUCACAAAACCUUCAACUUACAUUUGUUCUGCCUGGAAAAUGAACUAGGGUAAUGGUGACUCUCAGAAGGUGCGUGAAUGAUCAACCAAUUUUCAGUUUAACUUGAGGUCCAUACCACUAGAGGGAUCCCAUACCCAGCACAGCUUAGAUAGACUGAAAUAGACACUGGAGAGCCCAGAAACCUAAGAUAGAAACUAACACUUCCCAUCCCACCAAUCCACACCAUACCCUGCCCCCAAAAUCAAUGAAAUUAUUUCCAAUGAUAUCAUGCUAUACUCAUUGAUCUAUGCCCAGCCCAACUGUGAUCCGAGAUGUUUCCUCCAAUAACUAAUUAAAACAGAUAUAGAGACACAUUGCCAAAGUUAUGGCAGAGCUCUGCGAACCCUGUGGAAAAUUGGGAGGAAACAUUGUAGGAACGAGAAGGAUCAAGGACACUCCUAGAACAUAGCUAACAGAAUCAACUACACAGGGCUUAUGGGAGCACACAGAGACUGCAUUGACAAUCACAGAGCUUGUUUGAGACUACACUAAGUCCUACACAUAAAUGUUUGGUUGUGUAGCUCGUUCUUCAUGUGGAACUCCUAAGUUAUUCUGUGGCAGUUGAAGAGGGAUAUGUCUGACUAUUUUGCUUGCUUUAGAGACCCUUGUUUCCUACUGGGUUGCCUCAUCUAGGCUUGAUAUGAAGAUUUGUGCCUAGAACAAUUGUAACUUUUAUGCAGCCUUCAGUUGCUAUCCCUGGGAAGCAGGUUCUUUUUCUAAGUGUGGUGGAGGUGUGGGGAGGUGAAGGGAGAUGGGGAGAAGGAAAGAAAGGUGGAGAUAUAGUGUCUGAAUGAAGAAUAAAUUACAAUGGUGGUGGUAGGGGGAAUCAAAGCAGGAUUCAAGAUAGGAACCCAGAGACAGGAACUGAUGCAGGGACAGUGGUGGAGUGCCACACACUGCCUUGCUCCUUAUCGUUUAAUUAGCCAGCUUCCUUACACAAUGCCACCUGCCCAGGGGUAUAGUCUGCAAGAAGCUUAACCCUUCAAUAUCAGUCAUUAGUCAAGACAAUACUCAACAGGGAAGCCUAAGCUAGUCAUUUGUUGGCCUUUUCUCAGUUAAGAUGAACUUUUCCCAGGCAUGUCUAGGUGGGUGUCAAACUGACAAAACCUGGCCAGCACACUUUGGUUCCUGUGUUAUUAUGUUAUGGGAAGGGGUGAACUUCCUGACAUGAGUGAGUCCCAGUAAGAAAGGGUCAGAGAUAAAAUCUUAACUCCAAAGAGAAAAAUAUGUAAACAGUGAAAGAGAAAAUA
rnacentral:sRNA from 1 species